rnacentral:tRNA from 5 species
GCCCCGGUAGCCCAACUGGCAGAGGCAGUCGACUUAAAAUCGACCCAGUGCGGGUUCGAUCCCCGUCCGGGGCA